rnacentral:rRNA from 1 species
CACGUAGGAGACGAGCGUUAUCCGGAUUUACUGGGCGUAAAGCGCGGGUAGGUGGGGUCUUAAGUCAUGCGUGAAAGCCUCCGGCUUAACCGGGGGAGGUCGUGUGAAACUGGGGCUCUAGAGAUAGGUAGAGGCCGAUGGAAUUCCGGGUGGAGUGGUGAAAUGCGUAGAGAUCCGGAGGAACACCAGUGGCGAAGGCGAUCGGCUAGGCCUGAUCUGACACUCAGACGCGACAGCAUGGGGAGCGAACGGG